rnacentral:rRNA from 1 species
AGCAGCCGCGGUAAUUCCAGCUCCAAUAGCGUAUAUUAAAGUUGUUGCAGUUAAAAAGCUCGUAGUUGAAUUUCGGGAUCAAUAUGUCGGUCGUGCCUUCGGUACGUACUGGUAUCAUUGGUCUCUCCUUUCUGACGAACCAUGAUGUCAUUAAUUUGGUGUUAUGGGGAGUUAGGACUGUUACUUUGAAAAAAUUAGAGUGUUUAAAGCAGGCUUUAGCUUGAAUACAUUAGCAUGGAAUAAUGAAAUAGGACGUUCGAACCUAUUUUGUUGGUUUCUAGGAUCAACGUAAUGAUUAAUAGGGAUAGUUGGGGGCAUUAGUAUUCAAUUGUCAGAGGUGAAAUUCUUGGAUUUAUUGAAGACUAACUACUGCGAAAGCAUUUGCCAAGGAUGUUUUCAUUAAUCAAGAACGUAAGUUAGGGGAUCGAAGACGAUCAGAUACCGUCGUAGUCUUAACCAUAAACUAUGCCGACUAGGGAUCGGAUGAUGUUAAUUUUUUAAUGACUCAUUCGGCGCCUUA